GAUGAACGCUGGCGGCGUGCCUAAUACAUGCAAGUCGAGCGAACGGACGAGAAGCUUGCUUCUCUGAUGUUAGCGGCGGACGGGUGAGUAACACGUGGAUAACCUACCUAUAAGACUGGGAUAACUUCGGGAAACCGGAGCUAAUACCGGAUAAUAUUUUGAACCGCAUGGUUCAAAAGUAAAAGACGGUCUUGCUGUCACUUAUAGAUGGAUCCGCGCUGCAUUAGCUAGUUGGUAAGGUAACGGCUUACCAAGGCAACGAUGCAUAGCCGACCGGAGAGGGUGAUCGGCCACACUGGAACUGAGACACGGUCCAGACUCCUACGGGAGGCAGCAGUAGGGAAUCUUCCGCAAUGGGCGAAAGCCUGACGGAGCAACGCCGCGUGAGUGAUGAAGGUCUUCGGAUCGUAAAACUCUGUUAUUAGGGAAGAACAUAUGUGUAAGUAACUGUGCACAUCUUGACGGUACCUAAUCAGAAAGCCACGGCUAACUACGUG
rnacentral:rRNA from 1 species